GAUGAACGCUAGCUACAGGCUUAACACGUGCAAGUCGAGGGGAAACGACAUCGAAAGCUUGCUUUUGAUGGGCGUCGACCGGCGCACGGGUGAGUAACGCGUAUCCAACCUGCCCAUCACUUGGGGAUAACCUUGCGAAAGUAAGACUAAUACCCAAUGAUAUCUCUAGAAGACAUCUGAAAGAGAUUAAAGAUUUAUCGGUGAUGGAUGGGGAUGCGUCUGAUUAGCUUGUUGGCGGGGUAACGGCCCACCAAGGCAACGAUCAGUAGGGGUUCUGAGAGGAAGGUCCCCCACAUUGGAACUGAGACACGGUCCAAACUCCUACGGGAGGCAGCAGUGAGGAAUAUUGGUCAAUGGGCGAGAGCCUGAACCAGCCAAGUAGCGUGCAGGAAGACGGCCCUAUGGGUUGUAAACUGCUUUUAUAAGGGAAUAAAGUGAGAGUCGUGACUCUUUUUGUAUGUACCUUAUGAAUAAGGACCGGCCAAUUCCGUG
rnacentral:rRNA from 1 species